GAAGGUGAAGGGGAAGGUGAAGGUGAAGAAGAGGCACGUGAUGAGACCGUUGAUGAUCUUGGUCGGACCAUUGCUGAUGCACGGAGACGCUGCGAAACUGAAAAGGAGAGGGAGAAUUUGGAUCGCAUGUUAGAGGAUCACAGAAAGUCGUUGUACCCUGGAUGCGAUGAUGGUCUGAAAAAGCUGGGCUGCACACUGGAUUUGCUGAAAUGGAAGGCACAGGCAGGUGUAGCUGACUCGGCAUUUAAAAACUUGCUGAAAAUGUUGAAGAAUAUGUUUCCAAAGAAUAACGAGUUGCCCGCCAGUACGUACGAAGCAAAGAAGGUUGUCUGCCCUCUAGGUUUAGAGGUUCUGAAGAUACAUGCAUGCAUCAACGACUGCAUCCUCUACCGCGGUGAAUACGAGAAUUUGAAUGAAUGCCCGGUAUGCACUGCAUUGCGUUAUAAGAUC
rnacentral:rRNA from 1 species